CGACGAUCUGUAGCGGGUCUGAGAGGAUGAUCCGCCACACUGGAACUGAGACACGGUCCAGACUCCUACGGGAGGCAGCAGUGGGGAAUUUUGGACAAUGGGGGCAACCCUGAUCCAGCCAUGCCGCGUGAGUGAAGAAGGCCUUCGGGUUGUAAAGCUCUUUCGGCCGGGAAGAAAUCGCAUGGGCCAAUACCCUGUGUGGAUGACGGUACCGGAAUAAGAAGCACCGGCUAACUACGUGCCAGCAGCCGCGGUAAUACGUAGGGUGCGAGCGUUAAUCGGAAUUACUGGGCGUAAAGCGUGCGCAGGCGGUUUUGUAAGACAGGCGUGAAAUCCCCGGGCUCAACCUGGGAACUGCGUUUGUGACUGCAAGGCUAGAGUACGGCAGAGGGGGGUGGAAUUCCACGUGUAGCAGUGAAAUGCGUAGAGAUGUGGAGGAACACCAAUGGCGAAGGCAGCCCCCUGGGUCGAUACUGACGCUCAUGCACGAAAGCGUGGGUAGCAAACAGGAUUAGAUACCCUGGUAGUCCACGCCCUAAACUAUGUCAACUAGGUGUUGGGUGGGUAAAACCAUUUAGUACCGUAGCUAACGCGUGAAGUUGACCGCCUGGGGAGUGCGGCCGCAAGGUUAAAACUCAAAGGAAUUGACGGGGACCCGCACAAGCGGUGGAUGAUGUGGAUUAAUUCGAUGCAACGCGAAAAACCUUACCUACCCUUGACAUGCCAGGAACUUGCCAGAGAUGGCUUGGUGCCCGAAAGGGAGCCUGGACACAGGUGCUGCAUGGCUGUCGUCAGCUCGUGUCGUGAGAUGUUGGGUUAAGUCCCGCAACGAGCGCAACCCUUGUCGUUAAUUGCCAUCAUUUAGUUGGGCACUUUAGCGAGACUGCCGGUGACAAACCGGAGGAAGGUGGGGAUGACGUCAAGUCCUCAUGGCCCUUAUGGGUAGGGCUUCACACGUCAUACAAUGGUCGGUACAAAGGGUCGCCAAGCCGCGAGGUGAAGCCAAUCCCAGAAAGCCGAUCGUAGUCCGGAUUGCAGGCUGCAACUCGCCUGCAUGAAGUCGGAAUCGCUAGUAAUCGUGGAUCAGCAUGUCACGGUGAAUACGUUCCCGGGUCUUGUACACACCGCCCGUCACACCAUGGGAGCGGGUUCCGCCAGAAGUAGGUAGCCUAACCGCAAGGAGGGCGCUUACCACGGCGG
rnacentral:rRNA from 1 species